UUACAAAGUUAGUCCUUUUGGCCUCGUCUGUGCUGUUGCUGACACCACACAGUUCAAGACGGAAUAUGUGCUAUGUUCGGUAACAUGAGACAAGGACAUGUGGAAAUUCAGCCCAACCAACCGAUGUCCGAACCCUUGUUCUUUGACGACCGCCUAUCAUGCUCGGAGAUGAUGACUCUUCUUUCUUCAAGUCAUGUUAAGUGUCUGAUCAUCGCAACACAAUCCUUGAUGUACCAGAGCUGAUCUUAUUCGAGGACACUGAUCUUCAGCCACCCAACUCCUUGCAUUUGACUUCUUCUAUUCUUCGAAGACAAUGUUCAGUGACAAUGUGCAAUGUUUGCACAAAGCUUAAAUGGUGAAAUGUAGUUUUUAUUAUGUUUAGCCUACAUGUUCAGUACAUUAACAAUUGUGAGGCGUAAAAAGUGUAAUUGGUGCAGAGUUGUACAAUUGAUGUAAGUCCACCAGUUAAUGUUGGACAUUUUUACUGUUGUUAUACCACCUUAUUAUAUUAAUAUUUCACCUUAAUAUUUCCACAGUAUAUUUGUACUGUAACACUGUGUAAUUUUGGUGAAAGACUAAUGUAAUAAAGUAAUUAUAAAGUAAUUAUUAUAUGUAUUUAUAUAUGUAAUUAUUUUAGUUUGCAAUGUUUGCACAGCUUAAACGGUCAAAUGUAAUAGUUAUGUUUACAUUAACAUAAUUGUGAUACUUGAGUGAAGUAUACUGUAAAUGUGCAUAGAGUUGUACAAUUGAUGUACUGCAGUUAAUUUGGUUGUUACCACCUUUACAGUGUGGCGGUGACCCAUUCCCAUUACAGUAUAGUGUUUUACUGUAUUUUCAUUAACAUUGUGACAUUUCGUCAAUAAAAAUUCAA